AGUCUCAAGUUAUUUGAAUAGAUCAAGUAGUGAAGCAUACAGAUGGAGUAACAGGCAAGAAGUAGCGAUAUCAAGAACUGUGCAAUCAAGUUGCAGAGCACAAUCGAUAUUUAGCAUACAGCAUACAGUUGAAUGGAACAAUUAUCUACUUAGAACAGUCAAACUAUAGAAGCUACAUGUCCACAAGUUUUUUUUUUCC
rnacentral:sRNA from 1 species